GAUGAACGCUGGCGGCGUGCCUAAUACAUGCAAGUCGAGCGAACAGACGAGGAGCUUGCUCCUUCGACGUUAGCGGCGGACGGGUGAGUAACACGUAGGUAACCUACCUAUAAUACUGGGAUAACUUCGGGAAAACGGAGCCAAUACCGGAUAAUAUUUCGAACCGCAUGGUUCGAUAGUGAAAGAUGGCUUUGCUAUCACUUAUAGCUGGACCCGCGCCGUAUUAGCUAGUUGGUAAGGUAACGGCUUACCAAGGCGACGAUACGUAGCCGACCUGAGAGGGUGAUCGGCCACACUGGAACUGAGACACGGUCCAGACUCCUACGGGAGGCAGCAGUAGGGAAUCUUGCGCAAUGGGCGAAAGCCUGACGGAGCAACGCCGCGUGAGUGAUGAAGGUCUUCGGAUCGUAAAACUCUGUUAUUAGGGAAGAACAAACGUGUAAGUAACUGUGCACGUCUUGACGGUACCUAAUCAGAAAGCCACGGCUAACUACGUG
rnacentral:rRNA from 1 species